rnacentral:misc_RNA from 1 species
GUGAAUCAUCGAAUCUUUGAACGCAAAUUGCACUCUCCUUGGUCAGUAUGCCUGUUUGAGGGGCUGCCUAUAACAAUCGACAGCGUUGCUGUUUCUCUGUGGUGUUCGUUGGAAAUUUGGUCAUCUUAAAGCCAUUUGAUUUAAGCGACUUAAUAUUUUCUUUUGUUUCCAUUACCGUUUCUAAGAUCAUUUUCUUUACACGUUUAAGGUAUCGAAUUUUGCUAGACUUGACCAU